rnacentral:rRNA from 1 species
AUUGAACGCUGGCGGCAGGCUUAACACAUGCAAGUCGAGCGGGGAAAGGUAGCUUGCUACUUUACCUGGCGGCGGACGGGUGAGUAAUGCUUAGGAAUCUGCCUAUUAGUGGGGGACAACAUCUCGAAAGGGAUGCUAAUACCGCAUACGUCCUACGGGAGAAAGCAGGGGACCUUCGGGCCUUGCGCUAAUAGAUGAGCCUAAGUCGGAUUAGCUAGUUGGUGGGGUAAAGGCCUACCAAGGCGACGACCUGUAGCGGGUCUGAGAGGAUGAUCCGCCACACUGGGACUGAGACACGGCCCAGACUCCUACGGGAGGCAGCAGUGGGGAAUAUUGGACAAUGGGGGGAACCCUGAUCCAGCCAUGCCGCGUGUGUGAAGAAGGCCUUUUGGUUGUAAAGCACUUUAAGCGAGGAGGAGGCUACCGAGAUUAAUACUCUUGGAUAGUGGACGUUACUCGCAGAAUAAGCACCGGCUAACUCUGUGCCAGCCGCCGCCGUAAUAC